UAAGGAAUAUUGGUCAAUGGACGCAAGUCUGAACCAGCCAUGCCGCGUGAAGGAUGAAGGUCCUCUGGAUUGUAAACUUCUUUUAUCUGGGACGAAAACGGGAUUUUUAUCUCAAUUGACGGUACCAGAGGAAUAAGCACCGGCUAACUACGUGCCAGCAGCCGCGGUAAUACGUAGGGUGCGAGCGUUAAUCGGAAUUACUGGGCGUAAAGCGUGCGCAGGCGGUUUUGUAAGACAGAUGUGAAAUCCCCGGGCUUAACCUGGGAACUGCGUUUGUGACUGCAAGGCUGGAGUACGGCAGAGGGGGGUGGAAUUCCACGUGUAGCAGUGAAAUGCGUAGAGAUGUGGAGGAACACCGAUGGCGAAGGCAGCCCCCUGGGCCUGUACUGACGCUCAUGCACGAAAGCGUGGGGAGCAAACA
rnacentral:rRNA from 1 species